AAUACGCUGCCGCACAAUGGACCCAACUAUUUAUCAACAAAUUAUUGCCUACAAAACAAAACAAGAAUACCCAAAUGGUAUUACGAAGAAGGAGAAGUACGUUUUGAGAAGAAAAGCUUCUUUUUACGACGUUGAGGGUAGGAGACACAUCGUACAUAAAUCAAGCAAAUUAGAUCCAGAGACGCACCAAAAAUUCACAUUGCAGAACCUGCAAAUUGAGUGCAACUCAAGCUAUGUUUUUUUUUCUUUCAAGUAACUAUUUGUGGAUCUAUUGAGUAAAUAUUUGAUAAAUUAUCAAACUAAAGUAACAUAUUUGGCUGUAGACCCAUUGAGUGAACAUUUGAUAUAUUAACUAAUGUUAAUAUAUCUAAUUAUCAAACAUUAUUAACUAGUGGGUUUUUUUUGUCCAAGUAGCAAAUUUGCAAUUAGGUGUAUUGAGUGAGCACUUGAUGAAUUACCACAAGUAUGGUGCUAAUUCAACGUUUUAUUUUUACUUCUACUCAGGAGGGGAGCUGUAUUAUUGCCGCCAAAAAGGCACAGACCAGGCAGUCCAAGUGAAGGUUGUCUGUGGUGCUGAAGAGGCAAAUGACAUUUUUAAGAGUUUUCAUGCCAGCCCGGCAGGGGCACACACCGGGCAAAAUAAAACUAGACACAGCAUCUCUCUGAGAUAUUACUGGCCAGCGAUGUCUGUUGACAUUAAUGAGUGGGUGUCUCAGUGCACCGAAUGUCAGGCAGCCGGCAUAUCAAUAAAAAGCCCAACAGAGGUCAUGCCUAUACAGGUGUCUCAGCCAUUCGAACUCUUGGGGAUGGACCUCAUCGGCAAACUGGCUCAGACAAAAGAUGGAUACCAAUAUAUUUGCGUGAUGGUCGAUUAUUUCACAAAAUGGCCUCAAGCCUAUCCAUUGAGGUCGAAGUCUGCUGCUGAUGUUACCGCCUGCAUCCUAAAAUUCGUCUACCAAUUUGAGUCACC